rnacentral:lncRNA from 14 species
CAAAUUUCAGUAUUGUUUGCAUUCUUGACUCUUCCACAGAGAGAGAUCUGACAUGAUUGGAGAGAAGCCUGGAAAUCAAGAGCAAUAAGAAUGAUCUGCAAAGUGCUUCCAGAAGUUGCUGAUUAUGCAAUAUUGCAGGACAGAAUAUAUGACUGACCUACUGAAGGCCAAUAUCAUGAACCCAGGAUCAGCCCAUAAGGACAAGUCAAUCCAUGCUGAAGCACUGAAAAACCAGUUUUGGAUAUAUCGAUAUUAACUGGUGCCACUCUACUUUUUGUAGAAGACAGAUUGCAAAUAUGAAGCUGGAAUAAUCUGAUUGUUAUUGCGGGUAACUUUCUGCAGUGAAUAGAAUAUUGAAUAAUCUUGGG